ensembl:misc_RNA Metazoa_SRP Metazoan signal recognition particle RNA
GCUUUGGGCGUGGUGGCUUGUAACUAUAGUCCCAGCUACUCGGGAGGCUGAGGUGGGAGGAUUGCUUGAGCCCAGGAGUUCUGGGCUGCAAUGCGCUAUAUGCCGAUCAGGUGUCCGCACUAAGUUCGGCAUCAAUAUGGUGACCUCCCGGGACCACCAGGUUGCCUAAGGAGGAGUGAACCAGCCCAGGUCGUAAACGGAGCAGGUCAAAACUCCCGGGCUGAUCAGUAGUGGGAUCGCGCCUGUGAAUAGCCACUGCACUCCAGCCUGGGCAACAUAGCGAGACCCCGUCUCUA